rnacentral:tRNA from 1 species
GGAGGCGUGGCUGAGUGGUCUAAAGCGGCUCCGUGCUAAGGAGUUAAGGGGGUAAAACCCCUUCGGAGGUUCGAAUCCUCCCGCCUCCG